rnacentral:tRNA from 3 species
GCGGAUGUAGCUCAAUGGUAGAGCCUCUGCCUUCCAAGCAGAUCACGCGGGUUCGAUUCCCGUCAUCCGCUCCG